CAUACUUUAACCAUACCCUAACCUUAACCAUAAUUUAACCAUACCCUAACCAUAACCUCAAUAACCUAACUUUAAUGUAUGAACUUAAACUAGCGAUAAAACCUAACUCUAAACUCAACCGAUAAUGCCUAAACCUAAAAGUAACCCCAAUUCUAACACUAUGCCCUAUUUUAAUGGUUUUCCAAAAUCCUCUGAGCCGGAAAUCCCAAUUUCACCACACGGGAACACGCGGACGGGAACACGCGGACGGGAACACGCGGACGGGAACACGCGGACGGGAACACGCGGACGGGAACACGCGGACGGGAACACGCGGACGGGAACACGCGGACGGGAACACGCGGACGGGAACGUCACUCCCUCUGUGGUUGGGGUGCAGCUGUGCUGAUACAGAUAACAGUACGAAGCUGUUGCUUAUACAGAGAAGAGCACGGUCUUCCUGUAAGGCAGAUAGCGGCAUGCUCAGCUGUGAGGAAGAGGAAGAGCUGAAGCACCCGGGGAGGGAGCAAGCACACCGUGGUUAGGGCAGAGGUUCCCAAACCUGGGGCCGGGCCCUUGAGAAAAGCUUUACUAAUGCCAGGAGGAAGGCACGUUCCAGCCUACUCUCUCGACUGCACCCACGGGCGCCCGAGCCACAAGGACCCAGUGGAGCAGCUCCAGACAAGGCGACCAAAUUCGAUUACCUACCCCACAAAACCCAGAGGGCGCGAGCCAACCGCACCAUGCUCUCUGCCCCCGCCCCCCCCCCGGGCAACACUCGAGCCGUAUCUAAACCACAAGGACACACUUGGCCAGGUCACAGCUACAUACAAGGACCUUGAGGCACGAGCCUCUAAUCUGUUACUAAUUGCAGAGUAUAAAGGAGGAAAUGUUAAACUAGUUUAUUAAGGUUUUAAGCAGAGCGACCUCCUUAAUGAAAUGGCGAGCCACGAAGUGGUCAAUUGUUUUUGCAAACUCUGCCUUGUUUGUUACAUACAGAAGGCUAGCGGAAUGAUGGUGCGAAAUGAAAGUGCUGGGUACCUGUGAACUUAAAUGAACGGCUUAACUAUACCUGAGGAGUGGUCACCUGAUUUCUAUUAAGUAGAAUCCACUUUCAAUCAAUGACAACCUCCAUUACGAUGAGAAAAGAACUAGUGCUUGUUAAUUCAAUGGGAAACAGAUGAUUGGCUGAUAAUUAAAUGACAGUCCCUAUUGCCAUAGGAAAGAGAUGACUGCCUAAUGAUUCAAUGAGGUUGAUAACCAAAGGACAGGAAAGGUUCAUGUUUUGUGCCAUGUGGAAAUUGCCCUGAAGAUAGAACGAACGAUGGAAAAGAAUAACACAAAGAAAUAAAGAACAGUGUGUGUAUGUCUAUGUGUGUGUCU